GACUUUGACGGAAGAAAAGUUUUUGGAGUGUGGAUUUGGUGGAUGAGGAGGAGGACGCUGUUUCGGUGGACGAGGCGGCGGUGGACGCGGAAGGGGAGAAUUCGGCGGAGGAAGGGGACGAGGAGGUUAUUGACUGUUUUCAAGAUUGCUGAGAGUUGCAGAGAGACCGAGGGUGGUACACUCCAAAGAACUCUCCAAAGAACUCUCCAAAGAACUCUCCAAAGAACUCUCCAAAGAACUCUCCAAAGAACUCU